AUAGUUGGGUCGAAUCCGAAUGUCUGCUCCGACCUUCGGUUGGAGGAUCAACUGGUCGACCUCUAGACACAUCUGAUCCUUAUUUGGCUGGCAUAAUGGGACACCUCUGGUCAGCAUAACAACUAUAGGUUAGUUGGACUUUCGAAUCAACCCGUCUAAUCGAGCCUUGAUUGGAAAGCUAUCAGUCCUAAUUCUUACUUGGCAUGCCAC
rnacentral:lncRNA from 1 species